UUGCUUCAGCAGCACAUAUACUAAAAUUGGAAUAAUACAGAGAAGUUAGCAUGGCUUCUGCACAAGGAUGUCAUACAAAUUUGUAAAGCAUUUCAUAUUUUU
ensembl:snRNA U6 U6 spliceosomal RNA